GAUGAACGCUAGCGGGAGGCUUAACACAUGCAAGUCGAGGGGCAGCACGGGGUAGCAAUACUCUGGUGGCGACCGGGGCACGGGUGAGUAACGCGUAUGCAACCUGCCUUGUACUGGGGGAUAGCCCGGAGAAAUUCGGAUUAAUACCCCAUAACGAUAUAGAAUGGCAUCAUUUUAUAUUUAAAGAUUCAUCGGUACAGGAUGGGCAUGCGUAACAUUAGCUAGUUGGUAGGGUAACGGCCUACCAAGGCAACGAUGUUUAGGGGUCCUGAGAGGGUGAUCCCCCACACUGGUACUGAGACACGGACCAGACUCCUACGGGAGGCAGCAGUGAGGAAUAUUGGUCAAUGGGCGCAAGCCUGAACCAGCCAUCCCGCGUGCAGGAAGACGGCGCUAUGCGUUGUAAACUGCUUUUCCAGGGGAAGAAAACUUCCGUCGUGACGGGACUUGCCGGUACCCUGGGAAUAAGCAUCGGCUAACUCCGUGCCAGCCGCCGCCGUAAAAC
rnacentral:rRNA from 1 species